GACGAACGCUGGCGGCGUGCCUAAUACAUGCAAGUAGGACGCAGUUGCGAACGGGUGAGUAACGCGUAGGUAACUGCCUAUUAGAGGGGGAUAACUAUUGGAAACGAUAGCUAAUACCGCAUACUAGUAGAUGGACCUGCGUUGUAUUAGUUAGUAGGUAGGGUAAUGGCCUACCUAGGCAACGAUACAUAACCGACCUGUGAGGGUGAUCGGCCACACUGAAACUGAGACACGGCCCAAACUCCUACGGGAGGCAGCAGUAGGGAAUCUUCGGCAAUGGGGGGAACCCUGACCGAGCAACGCCGCAUGAGUGAAGAAGGUUUUCGGAUCGUAAAGCUCUGUUGUUAAGGAAGCGGUACUUAACCAGAAAGGUACGGCUAACUACGUGCCAGCAGCCGCGGUAAUUC
rnacentral:rRNA from 1 species